rnacentral:rRNA from 1 species
GACGAACGCUGGCGGCGGGCUUAACACAUGCAAGUCGAACGGAAAGGCCCUGCUUUGGUGGGGUGCUCGAGUGGCGAACGGGUGAGUAACACGUGAGUAACCUGCCCUUGACUUUGGGAUAACUUCAGGAAACUGGGGCUAAUACCGGAUAGGAGCUCCUGCUGCAUGGUGGGGGUUGGAAAGUUUCGGCGGUUGGGGAUGGCCUCGCGGCUUAUCAGCUUGUUGGUGGGGUAGUGGCGUACCAAGGCUUUGACGGGUAGCCGGCCUGCGAGGGUGACCGGACAAAUUGGGACUGAGAUACAGCCCAGACUCCUACGGGAGGCAGCAGUGGGGAAUAUUGCACAAUGGGCGGAAGCCUGAUGCAGCAACGCCGCGUGUGGGAUGACGGCCUUCGGGUUGUAAACCGCUUUCGCCUGUGACGAAGCGUGAGUGACGGUAAUGGGUAAAGAAGCACCGGCUAACUACGUG